rnacentral:lncRNA from 1 species
CCAUCAAGGUUACAUGACAGUAAGGAACUUCAGUAGUUUUUAUUCGGUGUAGGCUUUGAAAGAUGCAUUUUGUGAAGCUGCUGCAUGCCCUUCUCGUAGGUGUGUGGGGUUUGAUUUUUUUUUUUUUAAUUCUGCUUUAAGUUCUGUAGUAAAGCAAAGUAUCCCUGUCUUCUGUAGGUUCUAAACACUUUUAUUUAAUGGCUGUGUUACUGAUUUUGGUACUCUAUUCUAAAGGCACAUAAGCUUCCUGUAUUGUUCUGAUACUACUGAAUGGCUGUAGAAUUAGACUACAGCAGUACAGCUACAUAGAAACUGAAGUUCACACAGAGUAUGUGACACUACUUACAGUACUUACUAAAAUGGUGGCAGAGUUCUGGAAAAACUAAAGCUCUAAAAUCCCGUGUCAACGAACAGACAGCGUUAACCACUGUGUAUGUUGUACAGUUUUACCAUAGUUGCAGAAAGGCUGGAAAGAUUCUUGGAGCAUGGGAAGACUGUGGCCCCACUUCAGACACCGAGGACAGCUGCUGGUGUUUUGUUCAGGUAUCUUAAAUGGAUUACGCAAGUAAAGCAGUUAAGUCAGAAGGGACCUACAAAGCUCAUCAACUGCCUGACCACUUUCAGGCUAACCAAAAGUUAAAGCAUACUCUCAGGAUGUUGUCAGAUGCCUCUUGCCUCACACCUGGCAAUGUUCAUCAACCACCUCACUGGGAAUCCUGUCCCAGUGUCUGACUACCUUCAUGGUAAAAAUUUGUCUUAAUAUCCCACUUGAGGUUCCCCCUGGGCCUGGUACAGCUUUGUGCUGUUCCUGCACAUGGUGAUACGGGUUUCAAGGUAGAAGAAAAAGCACCUCCUUCUGUUUCUUCUCAGGAUGCUGCAUAGAGCAGCAAGGUUAUGUCUUGGCCUCCUUUUCUCCAGACGAGGCAAAUCCAGAUGCCCUGCAGCUCCUCUUCCUGGACACACUUCCAGCUCUACCAGCUUUGCUGCCCUCUGGACAUUUUAAAGGACCCUAACAUUAUUUUUUUUAAUGUUGUGGAGCCCAGAACUGUAUACAGUGUUCCAGGUGAGGCCACACCAACACUGAAGUGGAAGAAAUCACUGCUUACAAGUGGCUGGCUGUGCCUGUUUAAUGUGUGGGUUUUAAUACACCCCAUGAUGCAGUUCGUGCUCUUGGCUGCCAGGACACAUUGCUCGUGAGCACACUGGCAUUUGGCACAACUGAGUUCCCUCGUGCCAAGCUGCCCUUCAGCCACUUGUCUCCCACCAUGUAACUGUGUGCAGCAUUGCUCUGUCCCACAUGUGGUACGUGGCAUUUUCCCUUGAACUUGAAGUAGAUGAUUGUCCAAUGCUCCCGUGUAUUUAGAUGUCUGCCAGGCCUCUCAUCACUCAAGGGAGUCAGCUUUGUAGCAUAAGAUAAUGGAUAAAACUACAGUACUGACUAAAGGUUUGUAAUUUACUGCUGUAAAUUGAAAGCUACUAGAAAAUCUGGGGCAUCCAGAUCCCCCAACAACAGUUAAGAAGCUGAACCAUCAACUGAGUAUGUUCAGUUUCUUAUACUUUAUUUCUUCAUCCAGAAACAACCACUUCUCUCUCCUACUGCUUUUUGUUAAGUAAUUACUGUUUUUUUCUACCCCCUCCCCACACUCUUUCAUCAUGCUAACUUUGGCACAUGACAGAAUAGCAGCAUGAAUUUCAAAUGUAACUAGUCUAACAAAAAUUAGGUAACAGCAUGUCAGCAUCUGGUAACAUGCAGGAAGACUUGACCAAGCCAAACUACUGCUCUUCUAUGCAGAAAAUACUUCUGAGUGGCAGCUUUCAUCGCUUACUGAAGAACAGCUCUGAGAACCUCAAGCUUCACUCCCUCACACGUUUCCCCAGAAGUGACUAAGAACUGAGCACAGAGGGACGUAGCUCCCCUGAUUAAUUUUUCAAGCCUCAUUUGUAUCAAGUCAUUGAUUGAGAUUCGUACUUGCCUUAAGCUGUUUAUAAGAAACAAUCAUUUAUACAAGCAAAACCUCUGAUUUUAUCUCCAAUUCAUUUUUUAGCUUGGUCUUCCAGCAAAUCUUUAGCUUCAUUGAUUUUGGCUGCUACAUAUGGAGAACCACCUUUAUCUGGAUGAUUCAGAAGCAUGAUUCGUCUAUGAGCUUCUCUAAUUUUACUUCUGUUGGCUGUAGGGCUCACUCCUAGUAUUAGGGCUGCUUCUCGUUUAGUCAUUUUGGGUUCAAAUCCACCUCUGUAAUAACCACUGAAGUCCGCUUUGGGCAGGUUCUGCAGCACUUGCUUCAUCUGGGGCUCCAUUUGCUUCAUGGCUCUCAGCGCAUAACGACCUGCGAAGCCCGCCGCCGCGAUGGUCAGCCCGACCGCCACCAUGGUCCCGGCCAUGGCCCCGGCUGCCCGGCCCCGCACUGCCCAGCGCCGGCCGGAGCGCGCGGAGGCCGCGGCACGGCACGGCACGGCACGGCACGGCACGACAGCUGCCGUAAAGCGAGGCGGGGCGGGGCCGCCGCGUGCUUCGCUGCGGAACGCCUCUGCGCUCCUUCGUUAUGCAGAUCGGUGACGGUGUGCCCGACGUUGUGACGGCACGCGUCUGUGUUUGGAAAUGCUCUUUGCUCUCCCAUCCUCGCCCCGUCCCGCUGCUCGUUUUUCCCCCCCGUGCUCCUGUGCCGACACAUCACCGCAGACUCGGCACGCUUCGCCCCGGUGGGGCCUCCCCUGCGCUGCCACGUGCUCUUCCCGACGGACUGCCUCGGUAUUCCAUUGCUGAAGGCUGCUACAAAGCGAGGGGGAGUUACGGCUCUGGCACUCGUGUUGGAGUGCCGUCAGUAGCGCGGUGCCUCCGCUCGUCCUGCGUUGGCCCCCGAUGGCGGUGGGAUGGCAGCAGGGGUCGAACCUUCCCAGUGCUCCGCUGCGCGCGGCUGCCGUGCGAUGGACGGCGGCAGAGGGGCGGUCGGACAAAAUGGUGUCUGGCGCGGAAGCGCGUGAAGCAAACGUGCGUCACUGAACUCCUCCUCCGUGAGGGUCCGAUGGCGCUCGCUGAC